UACGAAGGGGGCUAGCGUUGCUCGGAAUCACUGGGCGUAAAGGGUGCGUAGGCGGGGCUUUAAGUCAGGGGUGAAAUCCUGGAGCUCAACUCCAGAACUGCCUUUGAUACUGAAGAUCUUGAGUUCGGGAGAGGUGAGUGGAACUGCGAGUGUAGAGGUGAAAUUCGUAGAUAUUCGCAAGAACACCAGUGGCGAAGGCGGCUCACUGGCCCGGAACUGACGCUGAGGUGCGAAAGCGUGGGGAGCAAACAGG
rnacentral:rRNA from 1 species